rnacentral:misc_RNA from 1 species
UUUAGUUUCAUGGUUCUAUACUCGGAUAAUACUAAAAACAGUGACAUUUUUCAAUCGAGUACAUAAAAAUUUUUAACUAGCAUUCCGAACCGGGAAUAUGAAAUUUAAUCAAAUCACAGAAGAGCCUGGAAAUACAUCCUUAUUCUUUUUAUAUGGAAACUAUGAAUCAAUUAUCAAAUUUAACCUGAACACUCAGCCUGAGAUAAAAGAAAGUACGAAAUCAAAACCUACUUUCAAGAAUCAAGCAAAAUGGAUCAAACAAAUUAAAAACAAAACCUCUUGUUAUGAAAGAAUACAGUGCCCACUAACUCAUGCUAUUCACCCGUCGAGAAGAUAUCCCCUGACAAAUUCUUACAAAGAUUAUCUUCUUUGCCAACCAGCUCUAAAUUCAAGCCUUAGCAGCGGCAGGAGGAGUCACGCCACCAGUAGUUGGCAGCCCAGCAGAGACUUUGACAGCAUCGUAGAUACCCCAUUGGGCUCCGGUGAGAGUUCCAAUCAUGACGAUACGCAGAGGAAGGCCACGGGUAAGGAGACCCCACAAUCCUAGCUUCUUGAUCGCAUCACUGGCGGUUGCUCCCUUGGCAUUAUUGAGGAAAGACACCAAGUUGUCAGCAGGGUGCGACACAAUAGCACAGAAAACCCCAGCAAUGUAUCCACCAACAAAGCUGACUCCAAUCUGCAAACUUCUACUGCACUGCUCUUUUGGAGUUGGAAUAGCAUGCUUGUACAGCAACUCCACUAUGUUCUCAAAGGUUGCAAAUUUCAU